GACGAACUGCCCUAACGUUGUUCGGAAUCACUGGGCAUAAAGGGCGCGUAGGCGGCGAUUCAAGUCAGGGGUGAAAUCCGGCAGCUUAACUGUCGAAGUGCCUUUGAUACUGAGUUGCUCGAGGGAGGUAGGGGUCUGUGGAACUUCUGGUGGAGCGGUGAAAUGCGUUGAUAUCAGAAGGAACGCCGGUGGCGAAAGCGACGGACUGGACCUUUUCUGACGCUGAGGCGCGAAAGCUAGGGGAGCAAACGGG
rnacentral:rRNA from 2 species